rnacentral:rRNA from 1 species
GUAGGGAGCAAGCGUUGUCCGGAAUCAUUGGGCGUAAAGCGCGCGUAGGUGGCCUCAUAAGUCCGCUGUGAAAGUCAAAGGCUCAACCUUUGAAAGCCGGUGGAUACUGUGAGGCUAGAGUACGGAAGAGGCGAGUGGAAUUCCUGGUGUAGCGGUGGAAUGCGCAGAUAUCAGGAGGAACACCAAUAGCGAAGGCAGCUCGCUGGGACGUUACUGACACUGAGGCGCGAAAGCGUGGGGAGCGAACAGGAUUAGAUACCCUGGUAGUCCACGCCGUAAACGAUGGGUACUAGGUGUGGGAGGUGUCGACUCCUCCCGUGCCGUCGCUAACGCACUAAGUACCCCGCCUGGGGAGUACGGCCGCAAGGCUAAA